CUCUUUUUCUCCUCCUUCCUCUAUUCUAUUCCCUCUCAACUGUGUAAGGUUAAUCAUCUGAUCUUUGAAGAACUUUGUAACGUUAAUCGAGUUUAGGAUUUCGGUCUGUGGUUCGUCAGAUCUGGAGCUUUGAUUAACUGAUUUUGAAUCUCAUCUUAGAAGUGAAGAACAGCAUCGAAAAAAAAAAGAGGUUCAUCAACCAAUUCCAACAAUUGGGAGGAAGAGGUAUUACAGAGAAUGGAUAUAUCAAAGUGAAGUCAGUGAAGUAAAGAAGUUACAAGGGAACAUGAGAUGUUUUAGAAAUCAGUAAGAAGAGGGAACAUGAGAUGUUUUCUGUAACGGAAUUUGAAAAUCAGUAUUAAGUUGGAUUUCGGUGGUUGCCGGUGUCUGUAAUAAGACAAGAAGUAGCUGCUGGGAAGGAAUUUGAUGGUGGACAACUGGGUGAUUGUGGAAUAUUCAAUGGGUUCCGGUUUCAUGGAUUUGGUCAUCAUCUCUGUGUUAAGUAAGUUUGCACUGUAAGGGAUGUUGAUCAUUUGUGGUUGGUUCAUCUUGCAAACUUGAAGAGGGAGACUGUGUUGACGCCACUUGGUUGAGGAGCUCUCUGACCAGUUUUUCGCCACCAUCUGCAUAACCACUUCACCUGCAUACAUCAUCACAGUGACCACCAGUCUCCAUCAUCAACUUUCAUUCACCACCACCAUCACAGCAGGGCAAAGAAACAAAAGAAUUGAAGAAAGCAGCUGAUGCACUCCGCCAAAAGGAGAAAAACGGUGCUAAGGGGAGAAAAUGGCGCCAAAAUGUCAAGGCUGUUGAAAAGAGAUUGUUCCCUUUUCAUGACACUUGAUUCCUGUUCAUGCUGCAAAUUGGAUCUUCAUACUUGAUCUUAUGAAUGCAUCAUGUGAUCUCAGAUGGUAUUAACUGCUGGUGCAACCCCUGCAGUUGAGAUUCUUAGUUUCUGCCUGGCUGAUACUGGAAAUGCAUUCCUUGUGCCUUCACCGUAUUACCCGGGGUUUGACAGGGAUAUAAAAUAUCCAUCUUUUUUGUCCCGUUUCGAGAACUAAAUUCUUUCUUUCCUUGAAGCUUCAGUAACUUAUUUUGUUGUCUUUACAUCUAGUAUCUUUCUUGCACUUUUUCACUACACUUUUUUUGAAAUAAUAAGUAUAAUGAUUAUUCAUAUUGAUGACAGUGGUAUAUGUACUAGACAUUUCUCCACUUUUUCCUUUAGUGGUUUCAUUCGUGCCGAGGUAAUUGUUGUCAUUGUGCUGUUAAUUCUAAUUGAGUUACUCUUCAUUAAGCUUUGGGCUUGUGUAGGAAAUGAAGGCCUGUACCAUGCUUAAAAAAUGGCUGUUGGACUUUCAGAGAAAUAUAUAUCCUAUGUUUUUACUUGGUUUUGUUGUUGUUGCUGCUGUUAACUUGUUAGUUUGGCUAAGAAAGUGUUUGUGGACUGUUUUUCAUUGAGCAAUUUGCAAUCCUUGCACCAGUUGGACGUAAAUUUUUUUCUCUUU